rnacentral:rRNA from 1 species
GGGCCCGCACAAGCAGCGGAGCGUGUGGUUUAAUUCGAUGCAACACGAAGAACCUUACCAAGGUUUGACAUGCUUGAAGUAGCGAACCGAAAGGGGAGCCAACUGUUAAGUCAGUAGCUUGCACAGGUGCUGCAUGGCUGUCGUCAGCUCGUGCCGUGAGGUGUUGGGUUAAGUCCCCCAACGAGCGUAACCCCUGUUGCCAGUUGUUUUCUCUGGCGAGACUGCCUCGCAAAACGGGGAGGAAGGUGGGGAUGACGUCAAGUCAGCACGGCCCUUAUACCUUGGGCUACACACACGCUACAAUGGGCGGUACAAUGGGUAGCAAUGGAGCGAUUCGGAGCUAAUCCUGAAAGCCGUUCUCAGUCCGGAUUGCAGGCUGAAACCCGCCUGCAUGAAGUCGGAGUUGCUAGUAACCGCGAGUCAGCAAAUUGCGGUGAAUACGUUCUCGGGCCUU